rnacentral:rRNA from 1 species
GGUUAAGCGACUAAGCGUACACGGUGGAUGCCCUGGCAGUCAGAGGCGAUGAAGGACGUGCUAAUCUGCGAAAAGCGUCGGUAAGGUGAUAUGAACCGUUAUAACCGGCGAUGUCCGAAUGGGGAAACCCAGUGCAAUUCGUUGCACUAUCGUUAACUGAAUACAUAGGUUAACGAGGCGAACCGGGGGAACUGAAACAUCUAAGUACCCCGAGGAAAAGAAAUCAACCGAGAUUCCCCCAGUAGCGGCGAGCGAACGGGGAGCAGCCCAGAGUCUGAAUCAGCUUGUGUGUUAGUGGAACGGUCUGGAAAGUCCGACGGUACAGGGUGAUAGUCCCGUACACCAAAAUGCACAGGUUGUGAACUCGAAGAGUAGGGCGGGACACGUGGUAUCCUGUCUGAAUAUGGGGGGACCAUCCUCCAAGGCUAAAUACUCCUGACUGACCGAUAGUGAACCAGUACCGUGAGGGAAAGGCGAAAAGAACCCCGGCGAGGGGAGUGAAAAAGAACCUGAAACCGUGUACGUACAAGCAGUGGGAGCACCUUCGGGUGUGACUGCGUACCUUUUGUAUAAUGGGUCAGCGACUUAUAUUCUGUAGCAAGGUUAACCGUAUAGGGGAGCCGCAGGGAAACCGAGUCUUAACUGGGCGUUAAGUUGCAGGGUAUAGACCCGAAACCCGGUGAUCUAGCCAUGGGCAGGUUGAAGGUUGGGUAACACUAACUGGAGGACCGAACCGACUAAUGUUGAAAAAUUAGCGGAUGACUUGUGGCUGGGGGUGAAAGGCCAAUCAAACCGGGAGAUAGCUGGUUCUCCCCGAAAGCUAUUUAGGUAGCGCCUCGUGAACUCAUCUUCGGGGGUAGAGCACUGUUUCGGCUAGGGGGUCAUCCCGACUUACCAACCCGAUGCAAACUACGAAUACCGAAGAAUGUUAUCACGGGAGACACACGGCGGGUGCUAACGUCCGUCGUGAAGAGGGAAACAACCCAGACCGCCAGCUAAGGUCCCAAAGUCAUGGUUAAGUGGGAAACGAUGUGGGAAGGCACAGACAGCCAGGAUGUUGGCUUAGAAGCAGCCAUCAUUUAAAGAAAGCGUAAUAGCUCACUGGUCGAGUCGGCCUGCGCGGAAGAUGUAACGGGGCUAAACCAUGCACCGAAGCUGCGGCAGCGACACUAUGUGUUGUUGGGUAGGGGAGCGUUCUGUAAGCCUGCGAAGGUGACCUGUGAGGGUUGCUGGAGGUAUCAGAAGUGCGAAUGCUGACAUAAGUAACGAUAAAGCGGGUGAAAAGCCCGCUCGCCGGAAGACCAAGGGUUCCUGUCCAACGUUAAUCGGGGCAGGGUGAGUCGACCCCUAAGGCGAGGCCGAAAGGCGUAGUCGAUGGGAAACAGGUUAAUAUUCCUGUACUUGGUGUUACUGCGAAGGGGGGACGGAGAAGGCUAUGUUAGCCGGGCGACGGUUGUCCCGGUUUAAGCAUGUAGGCUGGUUAUCCAGGCAAAUCCGGAUAAUCAAGGCUGAGGUGUGAUGACGAGGCACUACGGUGCUGAAGUAACAAAUGCCCUGCUUCCAGGAAAAGCCUCUAAGCAUCAGGUAACAUUAAAUCGUACCCCAAACCGACACAGGUGGUCAGGUAGAGAAUACCAAGGCGCUUGAGAGAACUCGGGUGAAGGAACUAGGCAAAAUGGUGCCGUAACUUCGGGAGAAGGCACGCUGGUGUGUAGGUGAAGCCCCUGCGGGUGGAGCUGAGACCAGUCGAAGAUACCAGCUGGCUGCAACUGUUUAUUAAAAACACAGCACUGUGCAAACACGAAAGUGGACGUAUACGGUGUGACGCCUGCCCGGUGCCGGAAGGUUAAUUGAUGGGGUUAUCCGUAAGGAGAAGCUCUUGAUCGAAGCCCCGGUAAACGGCGGCCGUAACUAUAACGGUCCUAAGGUAGCGAAAUUCCUUGUCGGGUAAGUUCCGACCUGCACGAAUGGCGUAAUGAUGGCCAGGCUGUCUCCACCCGAGACUCAGUGAAAUUGAACUCGCUGUGAAGAUGCAGUGUACCCGCGGCAAGACGGAAAGACCCCGUGAACCUUUACUAUAGCUUGACACUGAACAUUGAGCCUUGAUGUGUAGGAUAGGUGGGAGGCUUUGAAGCGUGGACGCCAGUCUGCGUGGAGCCAACCUUGAAAUACCACCCUUUAAUGUUUGAUGUUCUAACGUUGGCCCCUUACCGGGGUUGCGGACAGUGUCUGGUGGGUAGUUUGACUGGGGCGGUCUCCUCCUAAAGCGUAACGGAGGAGCACGAAGGUUAGCUAAUCCUGGUCGGACAUCAGGAGGUUAGUGCAAUGGCAUAAGCUAGCUUGACUGCGAGCGUGACGGCGCGAGCAGGUGCGAAAGCAGGUCAUAGUGAUCCGGUGGUUCUGAAUGGAAGGGCCAUCGCUCAACGGAUAAAAGGUACUCCGGGGAUAACAGGCUGAUACCGCCCAAGAGUUCAUAUCGACGGCGGUGUUUGGCACCUCGAUGUCGGCUCAUCACAUCCUGGGGCUGAAGUAGGUCCCAAGGGUAUGGCUGUUCGCCAUUUAAAGUGGUACGCGAGCUGGGUUUAGAACGUCGUGAGACAGUUCGGUCCCUAUCUGCCGUGGGCGCUGGAGAAUUGAGGGGGGCUGCUCCUAGUACGAGAGGACCGGAGUGGACGCAUCACUGGUGUUCGGGUUGUCAUGCCAAUGGCACUGCCCGGUAGCUAAAUGCGGAAGAGAUAAGUGCUGAAAGCAUCUAAGCACGAAACUUGCCCCGAGAUGAGUUCUCCCUGAGACUUUAAGUCUCCUGAAGGAACGUUAAAGACGAUGACGUUGAUAGGCCGGGUGUGUAAGCGCAGCGAUGCGUUGAGCUAACCGGUACUAAUGAACCGUGAGGCUUAACCUU